rnacentral:lncRNA from 10 species
AUCAGCCACCCCACCCCCAGCUCCCUCUAAGCCAAAAUAUGAUCUCAAGUAUGGCAGCGAGUGCUUGAUCCCUGCAGGAAGAGCGAGUUGGUGAAAAUCCUGCCUGGCUGGAUCAAGGUUAAGAGAUGAGGAAAUCCAAGCUCAGAAUGGAUAAUUCACCUAAGGAAAUACAGAUGGAAAAUGGCAGAGCUGCAAUCUAAACCCAGGUCCAUCUGAUAAUAAAGCCCAGGCUCUCCUCAACCAACUUCAGAUCUAGGAUGCUUCCAGUGAGACUCCGUGCUCCCUCCCUGUGUGGUUCCCAUGGCCUUUCUUUACCUCAAGAAAAUGCAGAGUGAAAAGCAAUGGUAGCAGAAGUUUCUAGAAGUUACUUAUAUGGCAAGUGCAAGUAUUUCAGAACACAUUUGAGAUUCAGGAAGGAGGCAAAAAGGCUUCUGCUGAGCAGUCAAAAUGACGAAGUUUGUAAACUUCACUUUAUUUGGGUCCCUGCUGAAAGUCUACCUACUCUUUAAAAACAAUAACAACAACAAAAAAUGGGAACACACUAUUAACGCUGUUCUGCACAUGUAUUUUUCAAUUAACAAUUGGUGAGUAUUCCCUUUUAGCGCACAUAGAUCUACCUCAUUCAUUUAAGGGCUCUGUAGUGCUGCAUUGUGUGAAUGCACCAAAUGUGUAUUUAUCCUGCAUUCUCUAGGUGGACAUUUUAGACACUUACAAGGGUUGGGGCUCAGAAAGUGAUAUCCCAAAGGCUGAUGUUUUGACAUGCUGAGGGCCCUCAGAAGCCGCCCCCGAACCAAGGUCCCUCUAACUUCUUGUUCCCCAUACCUGCCCCACCACCAAACACAGGGAGGGACUGUCUGUCUUUGGAAAUUUCCUCAUCUGACCAAGAAAGCAUCUUUCCAAAAGAAAUGCAAUUGUCUUAAACACCCUCCCUAGAGGUCUCAUCAAAUAACCAAGAAAGAUAAACCACCAGAAGAGAUGAGACUGGGAAUCAUCACCACACCCAGACAGACUUCAUCUAUUCUUCUGAGAGCAGCUCCAAGAGAUUGCCUGGAGGACUUUAUCUGCUUAAUAAGACAAGCUUUGUUCCUGUACAGCUCCGCCCCUCACCUUCCUGUAAUAUCUGCCUCCCACCUCCCCAGUCCAUACAUCUCCUCCCUCCUGUAUGAAAAAGGGUAUACAAGCUUCUGUGCCCCAUUGGGUUAUUGGGAAAUCAUUCUCCUGUGAUUCCCCUGUGCCAUGCACACUAAAAUAAAAUUUUGUAUGCCUUUUCUCCUAUCGAUCUGCCUUUGG